rnacentral:rRNA from 1 species
GACGAACCGUACGAACGUUAUUCGGAAUCACUGGGCGUAAAGGGCGCGUAGGCGGCGUUUUAAGUCGGGGGUGAAAGCCUGUGGCUCAACCACAGAAUGGCCUCGAUACUGGGACGCUUGAGUAUGGUAGAGGUUGGUGGAACUGCGAGUGUAGAGGUGAAAUUCGUAGAUAUUCGCAAGAACACCGGUGGCGAAGGCGGCCAACUGGACCAUUACUGACGCUGAGGCGCGAAAGCGUGGGGAGCAAACAGG